rnacentral:rRNA from 1 species
GAUGAACGCUGGCGGCGUGCCUAAUACAUGCAAGUCGAGCGAACAGACGCGGAGCUUGCUCCGCUGACGUUAGGGGAGGACGGGUGAGUAACACGUGGAUAACCUACCUAUCUGACUGGGAUAACUACGGGAAACCGGCGCAAAUACCGGAUAAUAUAUUGAACCGCAUGGUUGAAUAGUGAAAGACGGUUGUGCGGGCACUAAUAGCUGGAUCCGCGCCGCAUUAGCUAGUUGGUAAGGUAACGGCUUACUAAGGCAACGAUGCGUAGCCGACCGGAGAGGGGGGUCGGCCACCUUGGAACGUGGCCACGGUCCAGACGCCUACGGUACGCAGCAGUAGGCUACCGUACGCAGUAGUCGAAAGUCUUACGCAGUAAGGCCGCGUGAGUUAUGACGGUCUUGCGUUCGUAAUACCCUGCUUCUAGUUAUGAACCACUUUGGAAGUAACUGUGCCCGUCGUGACGGUACCUAGUCAGAAAGCCACGGCUAACUACGUG